UGGGGAAUAUUGGUCAAUGGGCGAAAGCCUGAACCAGCAAUGCCGCGUGAGUGAUGAAGGCCUUAGGGUUGUAAAGCUCUGUCAGAGGGGAAGAAAGGCUUGGAGUAACUUCCAAGAUUGACGGUACCCUAAAAGGAAGCACCGGCUAACUCUGUGCCAGCAGCCGCGGUAAUACAGAGGGUGCAAGCGUUGUUCGGAAUCACUGGGCGUAAAGAGCGUGUAGGCGGUAUGGUAAGUCAGAUGUGAAAUCCCCGGGCUCAACCUGGGAACUGCAUUUGAUACUGCCAAACUAGAGUGUCGGAGGGGAUGGCGGAAUUCCCGGUGUAGAGGUGGAAUUCGUAGAUAUCGGGAGGAACACCCGUGGCGAAGGCGGCCAUCUGGAAGACAACUGACGCUGAGACGCGAAAGCGUGGGGAGCAAACAGG
rnacentral:rRNA from 1 species